UCCAGGGUAGCCUAGUGGACAUGGCAUCUGCCCGGUAAGCGGAAGGUCGUGGGUUCGUUUCCCGCCCCUGGAC
rnacentral:tRNA from 1 species